rnacentral:pre_miRNA from 1 species
ACUACAAUUACUGGGUCAUAUGGUAAAUUUAGGUUUAACUUUUAGGAAAUUGCUGAACUGUGUUCCAAAGUAGCUGCAACAUUUGAUAUUCCCACCAGCAAU